CUGAGAUUAUACAGUGUGUGUGCGUGUGUAUAUACACAUAUCUAUACACAUGUAUAGGUAUAUACACAUAUGUAUAUGUGUGUGUGCAUACAUAAAUAUAUAUAUGUAGAGAGAGAGAGGGAAUCCAUGACAUUUGCACGUUUUGGAAUAUUACUGAAGCUGAAUCGCAAGCCCAAGCCCUGUCUUCCUCAGCUGUGAGACAGGAAAACAAUAGAUUCUACCUGAUUCUGUUUCGAGCAGCUAUUAGAAGGGGAAUAAAGGGAGAUGUGAACGGGCUCUGCAACCUUCAAGUGAAGCUUGAAAGGGAGGAAUGGUGGUUAUGAGGAGGAGGAGGGUUCAUGCAGCAUAAAAGAAAAGCCACACAGGCUGCUGGCCCCAAAGGCUACAGCAGCGACAGGAAGGAGGUGGCUGGGCUUCCCCUUCCGCCUUGUUGGUUCCAGCCCAGAAACUCCACCCUGGCUGGAGAGCGAAGAUUGGGCCUUGCUGAAAGGCGCCUCAGCCAUUCUCUUUUUUGUCGGACACGAAAUGGACUCUCUGCUUCGUAAAUGCAGUUCUUUUUCCUCUCUCCCAGCUCAUUUGUGCUUUGGUGUCUCUGUAUCGUUAUUUGUUAGGAAGUCACCUGACAGAUAAGAUUCACCAACGCCAAGGACUGUCCUAAGACUGCCUGGAGUAACUCAUUUCUCCUCCAGUAACCCUAGGAGAUAGUUUUUCAUUAUCUCCAUUGUACAGAGGAGGAAGCUGAUGCAUAGAGGGGCUAAGUCAUUUGCACCGUCUUGAGUGGUGGAUCUAAGAUUCGAACCCUAGCCGUCUGGCUGCAGGCUGUUGGUGCUCUUGGCCGCUCAACUAGAAUUCCUUUCAAACUACAGCAAUUAAGGCAACUGGGGAGAACAGGCUCCAGAAAGCCCACCAUACAGCAAUCCUCUAAGCUCUCAGGCGACCACCCAAAGCAGACGAUUUGCUGAGACGGGGAUGUAGGGCCCCUAUCUGCCAGCGGAGCUCAGCCCGGAGAUGCCUUUUGGGGGCACCAGACCCGGGGAGCAAGGAGAGAAGCCCAGGGAGUCUGACUCCACAGCCUGUCCUGCGCAUUGUGAACCUAAACCAUCCUGAAAGGAGCUCGAAUGGGCAAAGGAUUUUCAGAAACAAAGGUUGAGGCAGGAUGCUGGUGUUCAUGGAGACGCCGCAGUCAGAAUGGGUUUCCACCCCAUGCUUCCGGCAAUUGGGGAAUAUGACCGUAAACACAUCAGUAUCCAGAAGCAAGUUGCCAAAGACCCUCUGUUUCAGGAAGAACGCCCAGCCCUCCGUGCUCAGGGAGCAGCUGAGAUCAUCUGGUGCCAGGUGAUGUCCGUGGCUCUGACAGUUCCUGGGAUCCAUUCCUCCGGGAGUUUGGACAGCGUCUGCUCUGAAGGUGGCCUUUCCUCUCCCAGAACAUGAUGUAAUUCUCCACUCCGAAGCCUCAAAUGGUUUGCAGAUUUUCUGGGGUGACUAUUUCCUGUGUUCUGAGGUCCCAGGCGGUGAGCGCAUCCUGCCCGAGAGCUGUGGACAGCGUCUACAUGGAAAGCUGCUCCUGUCGGUCAGGAGUGCUUGGUGGCAAGUAACAGAAAACAUGACGUGGACCUCGAUGGACAGGAGAAAGUGGGGUUUGCUGGCUCAUGCAACGGAGCGUCUCUGGAAAGAUUUCAGGUGAGGAUGGAUAGAGGGAUUCAACCAUGUCACAAAAAAACCCAGCUUACUUUUUCUCUCUCUUCUCUGCUUUCCAGGAUGUCAAGUUCCCUCUAAGGCUGCUUCCUUUCAAACGAGCAGGAGGACUAGCAGAAGCCGCAGGGAGCCAAGCAUGCUUCCUUGUUCAUUUCUAGCAGGAGCAGCUGUCCCAAAAUAUUAAAUGAAAGUCCUGGGCUGCUGGUUGGAUCAUCUAAGGUCAUAUGCCCAACUCUGAACCCCAUGACUGGUGUCCUUGGAGCUGGCAGAGAUCAUUUUGCUCUGAAGACUACAGACUGGCAGGAGAGCAUCACCUUCUUUCAAGGCUUCGCCUCCUCUGGUGUCGACAGCUUGUGCACCAGCACGUCUUUGAAGCCACGUUUGCAGAAGAGAGCGUGAUGAGCAGAGCCAGAGCUGAGGGCUGCCUCCCUGCUGCAGGGAUCCUCCUCAGGCCAGGACGGCUUUCAAUCACUCUACCCCUGGACCAGGAAAGCAAGCACCAUGUCUACCCCAGGACAUGGUUCCUUUCAGUUCCGACAUGACUUUUUCUGGAGUCAUUAAAAAUACCAAAUGUGGUUCAAUGCAGCAGUACAGUCAAUGGCAACUGCAUUCCUCUGGUUGCUCAAGGCGAGACCUGGGAACCCUUCUUGACUCCUUCAUUCCCUCACUCCACCCCACAUCCAAUCCAUCAUCCAACCCUGUGAGCACUACUGCAAAAUACCCCUGGAAUCUGACCCCGUCUCACUUCAUCCGCAGUGUCCGCUGGGGCUAAGUUAUCCUCAUCUUCCAUCAAAAUACUUCAAUGGUCUCCAACCCGGUCUCCUCCUACUUGCUGCUCUAUCAUCUCAUCUACAGAGAAGCCAGAGUGAUCUUUUCAAAAUAUACAUGAAAGAUGCUCGAUGAAUAUGAAAUGAGAUCAUGUACGUCAAGCCCUUAUUAUGGUUCCUGGCGGAUGACGAAUGUUCAGUCACUGCUGGCUGCUGAUUCCAGUUCGUAGCCAAGGGAGGCAGAGUUCAGUUCCACUCAGAGGAGAGCUUCCACAUUUGAGGUCCACCAGGUGGGUGCUGAGAGGCUGUGAUGGGUCUGGUUCCUUAUUUCUCACUCCCUGUGUCUCUUCCCACCUGUAGCAAGUGCCCCAUGUUCCCUGGCCCAUCUGAGCUCCCCACAGCUGCAGACAGCUUCUGGGCCAGCUGACAGCUUCCCAUCUCACGUGCUUACAGAUGUCUUCCACACCUGUCACAGGGGCUUGCUCGGCUUUUGUAUACACAACCCAUAGAUGGGGGAGGGGGUGCUUAAUGCUCCUGGGGCCAACCAUCAACCAACACAGAGGGGAGUUGUUGGGGAAACGGUCAAGAUUUUUUGACCCCCAGUGGGACAAUUCUGAAGCACGUUCAUCCACCUUGUUUCCAGAAGGUCCUAUCUGGGAUGGAGUCCCUAUUACCCUCAACAGUAAUGUGCUUUUGGGUUUCCUCUCUUCCCCGACUUACCUCCCCCGCUUCUUUAAUGGCGUCUUCUGGGAUAACUCCCCAAAACUACAUUCUCUCGAGUCCUGCUGUGGGAGACCCAUCACUACUCAACAUUUCUGAAGAAAUGGCUGCCCAGCCCAUUAGUCUGACAAAGCCCUAAAUGCCUCCCAUCGUUACACGCCAUCCCUGUGGUCUAUCAGCACCAGCUCACUGGCCCCAGACACAUCAAUGAUGGCUGAGGGGUGAGGAAUCCUUGGGUUAUCUGCAAAGACAAAGAGUUGAACGGGGAGGUACAUGUCGAUUUUAUCAUAGGGUUGCCUCUCUCCUUAUAGAAAUUGUCCCUAGGAAAUGGUACAGUGACCUACCCCUCUCACUGUCAGAUGUGAUCAAGCCCUUAGAUCUCUGCAAAGAGCUACCCCUACCUUGUGGAGACCACCAUGCUGUGAAGACACAAAGGACUCCCUGCUUUGUGGCUCAGUUUUCUUGGUGUUGUACGUGUUUGUCAAAGAGGCUGUCAUGCAGAUGGCCAAAAAGCAUGUGAAAAGAUGCUCAACAUCGCUAAUUACUGGAAACAUGCAAAUGAAAACUACAAGGAAGUAUCAUCUCACACCAGUCAGAAUGGCCAUCAUCAAAGUCUA